GGUGCUAGACGGACACAUCGUAGAGAAAGCGGCUCAGAAUUAACCGACGGACCGACUUAGAACACGAUCAAGCACACAGUGAAGCUGUGGUUUUGUUUCACGCAGGACAUCAGUUUCCCCCCGAGGCGACGGACACGGUGUGAUGCUUCCCAACUCCGCGACCCCGCACGACGUUAACCCUCAACCUCGGCUUCUGCACCCCCAGCACGAGGGUCACGACCGAACCCUGGCCUCACGAGGCUGUGAGGGUCACACGGGCGAAGUACUGGGCACAGGCCCUGGCCUAGAACGGCCCUCACUAUGUUUGGGGAGUCGCCAUCGUCACGCAAAAGAUAUCCCCUCAGUUCCUUUGAUAACUAUCUGGUCUGGUAGGUCCCGGAAAGCCGUGUGUCCGCUGUGACCCUGGGGAUCCCUCCAGAGAGAGUUCAGCUCCCCUCAACUCCUCCGCUUGACGUACGGUCAGACACAGUACUCGUCCCUACGGUCACCAGACGGUGGUGGGGGGCAGGAGCUGGUUAAGGCCAGAUGGCCAGCUGCCUGCCACAACCCCAGCGGACGUCUCACUGCAGCUAGAAAAGGUGUAGGGUGGUGACCUCGCUAACUGGAAGAAGACUGCACAGAUCUGUCCGUCCCAGCGCCAUCUUUACCAGAAGCGUAGAGCUUGAUGAAGCCCGAAACCAGCACGGCAAAUCCCACCCCCGCACAAGCUGCAGACAUCAGGGGUCAGAGUGGCUGGGGCUUUACGACCGGCCUGAAGAACUCUGGCAAACUCGCGCCGAGGUUCGAGCGCAUCAGCAGUUAGGACGGGGACUCGGGUGCUGACUCGGGGCACGUUCUCCUCCCUUGACCGGUGCUCACAGGCAGCCGGACAGAAGGGAUCAGAAGAUUCUCUGUGGUCUCACUGGGCUCGACCCGGUGGGUGGGGGCCUGUCCCUGAGUCUCCUCCAGGGGAAGGACUUGGUAGAGGGGGGAGGUCACCGGACGUAAGCGUCAGCCCAGCCAGGCCGGACACCGCAUCCGGCCACUUUGGCCUCGUGAAUGAUCCGUGGUGUCGGCCGUCACACGGCAACAUCAUUUCUCCCGCUAGCGGGGCACGGUCCUCCGGGUACGAAUUCCUACAUGAAACCAGGAGUCUUGCACGGCCCCCCCUCCAGGCUGAGCCACCCAACUGUUUUUCGUCUUUCACGGGAAGUCCUCCAGAGAGUUUGUGCCAAGUUUGGUUACUUUCACACCGACCCGGGGAAACACGCACGGGGAGGAGCCGGUGGGGAGGCAGGGGGGUCCUUGGCCAGAGCGGCUCACGCCAGCACCAAGACCCCGGAGCUGCGGGCAACCGGAAGUCUCCACAAAACGGCACCCAUGAGCGCUACGUUUGAGCCUGUCCGUGGUUUUAAUAAACGUGCGCGUGU